GACCAUUUGGCACAGUGGUUCAAUGCCUGUACUGCAGCCACUCAUUCAUAGACCACAAGGUUGCUAGUUCAAUACUAGCCAGGGCUCA
rnacentral:tRNA from 1 species